AUGGCAGAGGGCUUGGGGGACCAGCAGAAGCCAGACAGGAGCAGGAGUCUCCAGUCAGGGCUAGACAGAGGGCAUGCCUCAACCACAGCCCCAAAGGUCUUCCCUCUGGCCCCCGGCUGUGGGACAACAUCUGACUCCACGGUGGCCCUGGGCUGCCUGGUCUCUGGCUACUUCCCAGAGCCGGUGACUGUGUCCUGGAACUCAGGCGCCCUGACCAGCGGCGUGCACACCUUCCCAUCCAUCCUGCAGUCCUCGGGGCUCUACUCCCUCAGCAGCAUGGUGACGGUUCCUGCCAGCAGCUGGCCGAGCAAGACCUACACCUGCAACGUAGCCCACCAGGCCAGCAGCACCAAGGUGGACAAGAAAGUCGAGCCCAGACCAAAUGGAAAGCCUGACUGCCCUGAGUGUCCCAAAUGCCCAGCUCCUGAACUCCCCGGAGGGCCUUCGGUCUUCAUCUUCCCCCCAAAACCCAAAGACACCCUCACGAUCUCCGAAACGCCCGAGGUCACGUGCGUGGUGGUGGACGUGAGCCAGGACAACCCCGAUGUCCAGUUCACCUGGUACGUGGACAAUGAAGAGGUAAACACGGCCAAGUCAAAGCCGAAGGAGGAGCAGUUCAACAGCACCUACCGCGUGGUCAGCGUCCUCCCCGUCCAGCACCAGGACUGGCUCAAGGGAAGGGAGUUCAAGUGUAAGGUCAACAACGGAGCCCUCCCGGCCCCCAUUGAGAAGACCAUCUCCAAGGCCAAAGGGCAGGCCAAGGAGCCACAGGUGUAUGUCCUGCCCCCAAGCCAUGUUGAGCUAUCCAGAAACAAGGUCAGCGUGACCUGCCUGGUCAAAGACUUCUACCCACCUGACAUCAACAUCGAGUGGCAGAGCAACGGGCGGCCAGAGUUGCCGGAGAAGUACAGCACCACCCCGCCCCAGCUGGACGGUGACGGGUCCUACUUCCUGUACAGCAAGCUCUCGGUGGAGACGAACAGGUGGAAUCAGGGAGUGAGGUUCGCGUGUGAGGUGAUGCACGAGGCUCUCCACAAUCACUACACCCAGAUAUCCAUCACCAAGUCUCCGGAGAUGGUCCUGGACCAGAGCUGUGCUGAGACCCAGGACGGGGAUCUGGACGGGCUGUGGACCACCAUCUCCAUCUUCAUCACACUCUUCCUGCUCAGUGUGUGCUACAGCGCCACCGUCACCCUCUUCAAGGUGAAGUGGAUCUUCUCCUCGGUGGUGGAGCUGAAGCGGACCAUUGUCCCCGACUACAGGAACAUGAUCGGGCAGGGGGCCUAGGGCCACUCUUCCUGGGCGGGCAUCCUGGGCUGGUCCAGACUUUGGACAGGAUCUGGUCCAUCUGUUCUUGCUGCUCAGCCUGCCACCCAGACCUGCUCCUCUGCCUUCUGACCUCG